rnacentral:rRNA from 1 species
AUUGAACGCUGGCGGCAGGCUUAACGCAUGCAAGUCGAGCGGAGAUGAGGUGCUUGCACCUUAUCUUAGCGGCGGACGGGUGAGUAAUGCUUAGGAAUCUGCCUAUUAGUGGGGGACAACAUUCCGAAAGGAAUGCUAAUACCGCAUAUGCCCUACGGGGGAAAGCAGGGGAUCUUCGGACCUUGCGCUAAUAGAUGAGCCUAAGUCGGAUUAGCUAGUUGGUGGGGUAAAGGCCUACCAAGGCGACGAUCUGUAGCGGGUCUGACAGGAUGAGCCGCCACACUGGGAAUGAGACACGGCCCAGGCUCCGUCGGGAGGCAGCAGUGGGGAAUAUUGGACAAUGGGCGGAAGCCUGAUCCAGCCAUGCCGCGUGUGUGAAGAAGGCCUUUUGGUUGUAAAGCACUUUAAGCGAGGAGGAGGCUACCUGGAUUAAUACUCUAGGAUAGUGGACGUUACUCGCAGAAUAAGCACCGGCUAACUCUGUGCCAGCAGCCGCCGCAGUAA